rnacentral:lncRNA from 1 species
AAAAGAUCAAAUGUUUCUGUUGCAAAAAAAAGAUACAUCAAAUGUUUCUGUUGCAAAAAAAGAUAACAAAUCAAAUGUUUCUGUUGCAAAAAAAAGAUACAUCAAAUGUUUCUGUUGCAAAAAAAGAUAAAUGUUUCUGUUGCAAAAAAAGAUAAAUCAAAUGUUUCUGUUGCAAAAGAAAUAAUCAAAUGUUUCUGUUGCAAAAAAAGAUCAAAUGUUUCUGUUGCAAAAAAAAAGAUAAAUCAAAUGUUUCUGUUGCAAAAAAGAUAAAUCAAAUGUUUCUGUUGCAAAAAAAGAUAAAUGUUUCUGUUGCAAAAAAAGAUAAAUCAAAUGUUUCUGUUGCAAAAGAAAUAAUCAAAUGUUUCUGUUGCAAAAAAAGAUCAAAUGUUUCUGUUGCAAAAAAAAGAUAAAUCAAAUGUUUCUGUUGCAAAAAAGAUAAAUCAAAUGUUUCUGUUGCAAAAAAAGAUAAAUGUUUCUGUUGCAAAAAAGAUACAUCAAAUGUUUCUGUUGCAAAAAAAGAUAAAUCAAAUGUUUCUGUUGCAAAAAAAGAUGUUUCUGUUGCAAAAAAGAUACAUUAAAUGUUUCUGUUGCAAAAAAAGGAUAACAAAUCAAAUGUUUCUGUUGCAAAAAAGAUACAUCAAAUGUUUCUGUUGCAAAAAAAGGAUAACAAAUCAAAUGUUUCUGUUGCAAAAAAGAUACACCAAAUGUUUGUGUUGCAAAAAAAAGAUACAUCAAAUGUUUCUGUUGCAAAAAAGAAAAAAAGAUAAAUGUUUCUGUUGCAAAAAAAAAGAUAAAUGAAAUUUUCUGUUGCACAAAAAAAAAAAGAAACAUCAACUGUCUCAGCUCGUGGAACCGGAAGCAACGUUGUUGUCCCCGAGAACACGCUUUCCUGACCAUUUGUCACGUCGGCCUUGAUUGGUGCCCUGAAAAUGCAAGUCGCUUUCUGCGGAGGCUUCAUGGGGAUUAUUCGAAUCUCGGGGUUCUUGGAAGGCGCUGCAGCCCGGGAGACAAGGAGGC